AUUAAGGAAUGUCGCCGCCACAGCACAAUUGUUUGUAUUUGUUGUUAUACGACGAUGUCUGUCGGAGUCGUUCGUUCCACUUGACUUUCUUUGUUGUCAUAAGGGUUCCGUGUACUGAGUGUGGGAGAGAAACAGAGAGUGUUGUGUGGUAUUGCACAAAAGAGCAAGUGCAUUGACGCUUGAUUUUUUUCCUGUUGAUUUUCGUUGUUGUUCUUGCGCUCCUAUUCUGUCAAAGUUACCGAGAGGGCUGGCCAUUUGUUAAAAUGCAGCCAAGCCAAGCACGAUUUUGGAUAAAAUUGAUUGGAAUUUAUUAUAAAAAAACAUAUUUUCAACUAUUUUAUGGAAGAAAUCCAUAGACGUGCAAAAAACGGUGUCAAAUCUAAUAUAGGCUGUUGUAAGAAACCCCUCCAAGAUGCAUAAGGAAUGUCGAAAACAACGUUUAAUUUGUUCGCAUCGGAACUUUUAUCAAAAUUAUGAAGCUCUAAAAUCAUUAGAGAUAUCCUCCAUUGAUUUUUUGAUAUUCUCCACCAUGAUUUAAUUGCAUUCCUAUAUUUUUAUUGCAAUUGUUUUCAAUCUCCAUGACAAAUACAAUACGCCUUCCAUUCCCCGAAAGAGACCCCUCAAAUGUUAAUGUACAGCAAAAAAUGCAUUCACUCAUCAAAAUAUUUAAACGAAAGCAAAAAAAGAAAAAUUUAACUAAAUUCGUCGACGUCAAUGAACACUUUACACCGGUAGCAGGCAGGCAGUGCAGGUGUGUGUUUUUUUUUUGCACACACAUUUUUUCGUCGCAGUCACUGCACGUUCGUGCACAUUGCUGCUUUGCGCAUGCCUAACCAACCAUGUACAGGUGCAGUGAUUGCUCUCUGCCAAUCGCGCCAUCCAUUCAGUGUUACAAUAAAAUGAAGAAAAAAACCAAAA